AUGCAAAUAGACUUUAUCUUGGCAAAUAACUCUUUUCUUGUUGUUGUUUUUGUUUGCUUGUUUCCAAAAAUAGAAAUAAAAUUACAAUUUUAUUGGCAGGGGGGAGAAUACUGUUUUAUUGUGAAGAAGGACUCAGAUAUUCAAAGAAUUAUCAAAAGAUGUAGCUUUGCAGUAGGAACCUCUGAAAGGACUUCAGUUCUUCCUGCCAUAUGGAUUGGUGCCAGAACAUGUUGCAGAAGCAGGCAUACCAAGUUUUAAGAUAUGUUACGUAUAAUUAAAAAGAAAUAUAAAGGAUAAAAAAGACCAUUGCCUGGCUAAGCAGCUGAAAAAUUUCAAGUAAUUCACAUCAAGACUUAAUGAAUAAAAUAUCAAGGUAUUUUGCA
rnacentral:lncRNA from 1 species